UUUUCUCUUACUUUGUUGUCUUCUUUGGCUGAAUAAAUAUUUUAUAUUAGAAGUGAAAGUGGAUUACACACCUCUUCAUUUCUCAAACUUUGGAUUACACAUGUCUUUGUUUCUCAAACUCCUAUCUACGUGUUUGUUUUCUUGCUCUUUCUUUUUUGCCAUAUCUACUUUUUCCACCGCUUACCUUCUACGUGUCUGUUCUCUUUUGCUCUUCCAGUUUCUUCUACCCUCCAUACGCUCCUUCCAAACCACCACCCUACACUUCCCUCUUCCACCGUCCGUCUUCAACCACUGCACCCCCAUGGUAAUGUUGUUCGACCUAAGGAGUAUUUGGACUAUGAUCUCACCGACGACGACAACGACGUCGGCCAGACCUCCACCGUCAGGGCGCAUCCACUACCUCUCCCUGACUUUGCGGUUCUGCUAAAACGCGAUUCCUUCACUGUCUUCUACUUUCGUUCCGGUUUUGCAUCGGCUGGACGGGUUGGAGCCGACCUCAACUGCUCCACAAACCUAGAUCCAAUUGUGUGCUCUGGGAUUUCAGUUUUGGGGUUAAUUGAUUUAAAGCAAAGUUUGCGUCGGAUACACCGAUUCCGGCGACAGCAGACGUUGGUGAGUCUGCCUCCGUUCACGGAGGAACCACCAUGACGAACCUAAACUCGUGACUUCAUCUCGCAUUCCCCACUGCUCUUAGAUGAAAUACACCACCGGUCCACCAUCGAUUCUUCCUUAUGGCCAUAGUGACGCCGGCGACGCCGAUUCCGCCGACCUUUCACCGUCAUCUUCAACACCGAGAGUACAUUGACUAUAUCUACAAUUCUAAACAUCAGUAUGGGGGUAUGCUUCUCUUCGGUUAGUUUGCUUUAGUCAUUGCCAACUAAUCUAAUAACGAAUCAAAGCACUUCACGUGUUUUUCAACAAAAAGGAUAUAUUCAUGUGUCAUGAAUUAUGAUGCCCUGCUUUUACCCUAACUUUAUGAUAUCUCUGGAUCACAAUAGAUGAGAUGGAUGUUGCCAUGAAGAAUAUGAUUCAAUUUUGUUAUAUUAUAUAUUGUUAACCUGAAUCUGCUGCUUUGAGUUGUUGUGAUAGAAAAGGUUAGAUUUUGGGGUAUGUUCAUGAAUAAAGAUAAAGUGACCCCUGAAAAUCAUAGAAGAUUCAGUGUUUUCCGUUGUGUUUUCCAUUUUUGAUAAUAACCAAAACCUCAAAUGAUUCUUCUUGAACUAUUUCUGAUUUUCUAAUUUGCAAUUUAGAGAUGGGGUUUGUUUUCGUUCAUUUAUUAAUUGACAGGGUUCUUUUUCAUCUUUUAGCAUCCAUACAAGUCAAUUUAGUCAUGUAUAGUUCUAAAUAAACUAUGGAUUUUAGUUUUACAUCAAAGUGUAUUGGAUAUGUCUCUCUUCUACUUGAGCACAUGAAUGAUCCAAUAAAGACAUUGCCAAAAGCAAGGCAUAAGGUGUUGGAUUUAGAAAAUGGCAUUCUUUCUUAUGUUUUCUAAUUGAAGCCCACUAAAUCUGCCUUGAAUACCAUGUCCACCAGGUGCUCGAUGUAAUGUCACUCUCAAGAAUCACUCUACAAAAUGUUUUUUCUGAAGUUUCAUGACACAUGAAAGGAAAUAACUGGUGUCUUUUGGUCUUUGCAAGAAAACCAAGCAAAAAGGUAUUUGCCAUUAAGUCCCUUAGCCUAGUUGUGGAGAAAACUAGAAGUCAAACUUGUAGCACCUUGCAGCUUUGAAAAGGAAUGGCUAUGAACAAGAGUGUUAAUCUUAGCCUUCGUGAAGAAAGAGAAAAUGCAGAUGAGCUAUGCAUGGCAAUAAAAUAGGUGUUAUGUGAUAAUGAGAAAGAAAGACAUAAGUAUGAAGAAGCAUUGAUUGCUAUCACUAUUGAAGAAACCUUAAAAUAGUUAGAGAUUUCAACCUUUUACUAGACAUAGGGUGAUUCUGAUUAGUUUUUUUUUUAAUAACUAAAUUCAAGUUUUGUAAUUUGUUAAUAAUUUAAUUUAGUUUAUGCUUUGUAGUUACUGUCAAUGCAUUGGACGACCAGAUUUUUGGGGAGGGGAGUCAUAAAUUUUGCUUAGUUUGUAGGAAGAAAAACAAGAUUCUGAAAAUUGAAGUUAAUAAUGGUUGUGAUGAAAACAGGUGGAAGUGAAGGUGAAAGAGAAUUGGAGACAAGAUGAAGGGCUUCGAAGGUAUUAUGGGUAUUUAGAAAAAAUACAGCUGUUGUUGAAGAUGUUGAAAGGCACUGGGGUACCACUUUACCUGGUAAAGUAUAUAUGGGUGUUUUUUUUACCAUUCUUUAUAUAGUAAAAAGUUGGGUAAUAUUAAUAGUCAUUUCAAAUAAUUGUUUUUUUUUGGCUAAAUCGAUAAAAUAAUGGAAGUAUUUCUUUAUUUUUGCCCUUUCUCAAUACCAAGUAAUUAGAGCCAUCCGGUCAGCCUACUGCAAUGGGGCAAAAGAAGUUGUUCCUGAGCUUAUUUGCCCGGAAAAUAGAAAGUUUUUGGGCAAAGGGUAUAAUGGUCAAAACAAGCGAUUGUUUGAUUAUAUAAUUAUCAUAGUUUUGUGUGUAUAGCGAAAGGUGCAAGUGAAGAAUCGUAUACAAUGACUUUUGAAAUUCCUGAUGUUGUAAUGCGCUAGCAUGUGUAAUGUAUGAUCAGUUACAUUUUUUUAACUUCUUUUUGGUUAUUCAAGGAAUUUGUGAUUGUAAUUUAUAGGUUGGAUUUCUUGCUGGUCAAUUGUGGUCAAUGUAAGGUAAAAAACAUUUCGAUUUUGAUCUAUUUGUGUAGUAUCCUGAGUUUUUGAA